AACUGAACUUACUAGCCUUACAGAAAAGCACUACAGAGUCUGAUAGAAAAUGUUAACUUUUUUGCAUGCUUUUGAACCUUUCUAUAUGAUGUAGCAAAGAAUGAAUACUUGUGGGAGGAUGGCUCAUAGCUACAGAUAGGAUGGGAUGGUGCUUGGAGUUUUACUCAGCAAAGCAUUUAAGCUUGUUCUUGUAUUGGAGCGCUAGUUAUCUCACUGAGCUUGAAUGGGAGUUGCAGAUGUGUGCGUUUCCUAUUGACUGUCAGGAAAGAGGGUUAUGAUUCCCAGUGGAGAUGCACUACUACUUCCUACAGAGCAAAACAGAGAGAAUAAAAUAUUCUGUGAUGGGUUUCAUGUGAAAAAUUGGGAUUUGGGGAGUUGUAGAUUCUCUGCUAUCCCAUUCUGUGUCCUUUAAUUUUCAAGCAGCCUGAAGUUAGGCUGGUCCCCUUUUCUCACAUCAGCCGCUGAGGGAGCAAUCCUGAUUCAGUAGUUAUGUGACUGCAGUGAUUGCUCUUCAUCUGCAUCUUACAGUUGCAGAAUAAUUUAGGUUGGCCUGGUCCAACCUCUGGCUCCAAUCAGGGCCAGCUUCUAAGCCAGAUCAGGUUGCUGGGGGCCCUGAAGAAUCAAUUUGAAAGAAAAAGUCAAGCUGACAGCAUAUUUAGUUGACAGUAGGUGGUGCAAAGGGAACUUCUUUGCUGGCACUCGCUCUUAGACAACUGCAAAGUUGCACAGAGACUGAAAAUGAUGUAUCUUAACAGUUUUCCAGUUACUGAAGCAGGUUACUAAAGCCUAAGCUUCCUAGGCUACCACAGUUUAUUUCAAAGGAAGGCUUUUCUUUCUAAGGAAAACUUGCAGUCCUGUUUGAACGCAGUGUUUGACAGAAGGCUUUUUGCCCAAAUUAACUGCUAGAAAAAUGUACUUCAGCAAAGGCCGCCUCCUUCUGAGAAAAUGGAAUCCUCUGUUGAAAUCACUCUAUGUGUGUGUAUGUGAAUAUUUGAUCUAACACUCCCUCUGCAGUUUCUCUGGUCACAUGCCUGCCUCUCCUAAAGGUGUGUUAAAAUGAUGGCUGAAUACAGAAACGUAUAUAUUGAAGACGAAGAAUGGAGGAAAAGUCUAACCCUACCUGCUCAGCUGUUUCUCUAGCCUCUCUCACCUUACAGGUCAUCCCACGUGCAUAACAGCAAAAGACCUGAAUGGCACUAUAUGAAGGGCCCAUCCCUCCUGAAGUUUUGCCUUGGCUGGGGAAGCUGUUGUCUGCCUUUUGAAGGAGCUUCUCAGCCGCUUGGAGCCAUUUGAGGUGUAUAGUGGGACCAUGCCAGGAGGCCCACUGAGGGUAUGAAAGCAAACACGUGUUGUAAAUGCCACAUCGUGGGACAUGUUGCUCACAUCUGCUUCAAGUGGAACAGACAGAUUUACUCUCAGCCUUUUGAAACACAGGUAGAUGAAUCUGGAAACAUUUCCUUCAGUUCUCACCAGUAAGGCUUCAUUUGUCCUUCAGCUCCCGUGGAAAGUGACACGGUCUGGUGCCAUACAAAGAGUGAAAUGCAUGUGACCUUCCCCCAGGCACUUCCCAUUUUUGUGGCUUGGACAAGCACGCCUGAGGACAACAUGGGAAAAGGUCGAGAGAGCCAGAAGGAUUCAGUCCACCCCAGGCUGCCUUCAAAAGUAAACAUCCUGCGAUCAGCAGCAACCGCGCAGUGAGAGGUGAAGGAAGACGUGAAGGAGGAAGCAGAGAGCUGUGACUGAUGGACACUAGUUGGGUGUGGAUUUAAAAAACGCCUGUGGGAAUGCCUGUUGGUGGUGCCUGUAUGACAGAAGCAGAUGAAAUUGGGCACGUGCCUGACAGUAUGAAGUCAUCACCUCCAUCUCAUGGACAUCCUGCUCUAUAGGGUGAAGGCAAGACGUGGAAGGGGAAUGGGUAAGCAGCAGAAAAUGAAGUUUGGGCACAGCUCCCCAGGCUGGUGAUCCUUCCGUGAGGCCACAGGUGAGGGAGAAAACUCUUGUACACCUGGUCUGUUGAGCCUCGAGCUUCAGCCCUCUCUGGAAUAAACAAACAAAAUUCAAUCACCUUGAUCUGUUGGAGUACUUUAAAUUUCCCUUGCCUCUCCUCAAAGUGAAAGCCAUCGUGCAUAAAGCAAUGUUCUCUCUACCUGUAUUUUCCCCUGCAGAGCCCAAGCCUCUUUUCAGCUCUCCCUUUUCUUGCCCAGGAUGUCUCCAGUGUGUCAGCACACAGUAUCCUUUUCCAGGAAACACCACAUGCACUCCAUGUUUAAAAGCAUCGCGUUCUUUACAGUUAGCAUCCAAAUAAUGGUAAUUCUAAUUUCCUGCCUAAUUCUAUCUCCUUUGCUGGUGCUGCUGAUUAUGAAGACAUUUGUGUGUAAAUACAGGCAUUCUUCUCCCUUUGUCAUACUGAUUCCUUUAGCGAUGAUGCGAUCUAGCACUCAUGACAUCACAAUUCAUCACUGGUGACUGCAUUACAGAUACAGCAGGCACCAGGCAGCCUUUAAAUCAGGUGGUGGUAGCGGCAGGCACCUGAUAAUGAAGCAGAAAGCAGAGGCUUUUGCAUGUAGACAACAUGGUGGCUGCUAAUCUGUGACGCUGGGAACGUAAAAGCUGUGGGGUGCCUAAAAUGUAACACGAAGCAAAGUUUGCCUAAGCAAGAUGGAGAGCGUGGUGGAAGGUGACCUUGAUUGUCCUAAACAAGCAGCCUAGUUCCUGAAAUGGCUGUUGUAUGCCACUGAUCACCCCAGUCACCUUCCACACAGGCCUUUGUCCCCAUUGAGUUUGCAGGACUGCGGUGGGGUCCCCUG